rnacentral:rRNA from 1 species
CCUAUCCGGUGCCUUACCAUGCAGUCGAACGGCAGCACGGACUUCGGUCUGGUGGCGAGUGGCGAACGGGUGAGUAAUGUAUCGGAACGUGCCCAGUAGCGGGGGAUAACUACGCGAAAGCGUAGCUAAUACCGCAUACGCCCUACGGGGGAAAGCAGGGGAUCGCAAGACCUUGCACUAUUGGAGCGGCCGAUAUCGGAUUAGCUAGUUGGUGGGGUAACGGCUCACCAAGGCGACGAUCCGUAGCUGGUUUGAGAGGACGACCAGCCACACUGGGACUGAGACACGGCCCAGACUCCUACGGGAGGCAGCAGUGGGGAAUUUUGGACAAUGGGGGAAACCCUGAUCCAGCCAUCCCGCGUGUGCGAUGAAGGCCUUCGGGUUGUAAAGCACUUUUGGCAGGAAAGAAACGUCGCGGGUUAAUACCCCGCGAAACUGACGGUACCUGCAGAAUAAGCACCGGCUAACUACGUGCCAGCACC